rfam:Glycine soja cultivar W05 scaffold521_44, whole genome shotgun sequence.
AAAAGACAAGGCAGAUGAAUCAAGUAGAUGUGUGGAAGGAGAAGUCCUUUCUGAUCUUAAAUUUUGAGGCAUAUUUAAUAUCUUAUAUGUUAAUC